rnacentral:misc_RNA from 1 species
GAUGAAGAACGCAGUGAAAUGCGAUAAGUAAUGUGAAUUGCAGAAUUCAGUGAAUCAUCGAAUCUUUGAACGCACAUUGCGCCCCCUGGUAUUCCGGGGGGCAUGCCUGUCCGAGCGUCAUUACAACCCUCAAGCUCAGCUUGGUGUUGGGCCCCGCCGCCCCGGCGGGCCCUAAAGUCAAUGGCGGUGCCGUCCGGCUCCGAGCGUAGUAAUUCUUCUCGCUCUGGAGGUCCGGUCGUGUGCUCGCCAGCAACCCCCAAUUUUUUUCAGGUUGACCUCGGAUCAGGUAGGGAUACCCGCUGAACUUAAGCAUAUCAAUAAGCGGAGGA